rnacentral:lncRNA from 1 species
AUGGUGUUGGCGGUGGCGACGACGGCUGACGACGCCGACGAAGGACUUGGCGGCGACGUGGCGGACGGCGACAGCGAAGCGGCUGCUGGCAGUGGCGGCUGUUCGCGGAGGCGGUGGCUGGCGUCGGUGGCAGCGGCGACAGCGGCCGACUUGCCGGCGGCUGUGGCUGUGGAGGCGCUGGCGAUGUCGGCAGAUGUGGGUCGCUGGCGGCAACAAGUGGAGGUGCGCGGUGAGGAUGGCGACGGCGAAGUGGCUAGGCGUUCAACAACAGCGGCUGUGGUGGUGGUGGCCGUGAUUGUGGUCACCGGAGGCAUGGUGGCCUCAGACGGCUAGCCGAUAGCGU